UACAGAGGGGGCAAGCGUUGUUCGGAAUUACUGGGCGUAAAGGGCGCGUAGGCGGCCUUCUAAGUCGAACGUGAAAUCCCUGGGCUCAACCCAGGAACUGCGUCCGAUACUGGGAGGCUUGAAUCCGGGAGAGGGAUGUGGAAUUCCAGGUGUAGCGGUGAAAUGCGUAGAUAUCUGGAGGAACACCGGUGGCGAAGGCGGCGUUCUGGACUGCAACUGACACUGAUGAACGAAAGCCAGGGGAGCAAACGGG
rnacentral:rRNA from 1 species